rnacentral:tRNA from 1 species
GGAAGGGUGGCCGAGUGGUUUAAGGCAACGGUCUUGAAAACCGUCGUAGGCGCAAGUCUACCGUGGGUUCGAAUCCCACCUCUUCCGCCA